AUGUGGAGAGACCCCCAAAACACCCCCAGCGUACCCCAGAAUCACCCCCAAAAGAACGGGGGUCACUCAUGUGGAGAGACCCCCAAAACACCCCCAGCGUACCCCAGAAUCACCCCCAAAAGAACGGGGGUCACUCAUGUGGAGAGACCCCCAAAACACCCCCAGCGUACCCCAGAAUCACCCCCAAAAGAACGGGGGUCACUCAUGUGGAGAGACCCCCAAAACACCCCCAGCGUACCCCAGAAUCACCCCCAAAAGAACGGGGGUCACUCAUGUGGAGAGACCCCCAAAACACCCCCAGCGUACCCCAGAAUCACCCCCAAAAGAACGGGGGUCACUCAUGUGGAGAGACCCCCAAAACACCCCCAGCGUACCCCAGAAUCACCCCCAAAAGAACGGGGGUCACUCAUGUGGAGAGACCCCCAAAACACCCCCAGCGUACCCCAGAAUCACCCCCAAAAGAACGGGGGUCACUCAUGUGGAGAGACCCCCAAAACACCCCCAGCGUACCCCAGAAUCACCCCCAAAAGAACGGGGGUCACUCAUGUGGAGAGACCCCCAAAACACCCCCAGCGUACCCCAGAAUCACCCCCAAAAGAACGGGGGUCACUCAUGUGGAGAGACCCCCAAAACACCCCCAGCGUACCCCAGAAUCACCCCCAAAAGAACGGGGGUCACUCAUGUGGAGAGACCCCCAAAACACCCCCAGCGUACCCCAGAAUCACCCCCAAAAGAACGGGGGUCACUCAUGUGGAGAGACCCCCAAAACACCCCCAGCGUACCCCAGAAUCACCCCCAAAAGAACGGGGGUCACUCAUGUGGAGAGACCCCCAAAACACCCCCAGCGUACCCCAGAAUCACCCCCAAAAGAACGGGGGUCACUCAUGUGGAGAGACCCCCAAAACACCCCCAGCGUACCCCAGAAUCACCCCCAAAAGAACGGGGGUCACUCAUGUGGAGAGACCCCCAAAACACCCCCAGCGUACCCCAGAAUCACCCCCAAAAGAACGGGGGUCACUCAUGUGGAGAGACCCCCAAAACACCCCCAGCGUACCCCAGAAUCACCCCCAAAAGAACGGGGGUCACUCAUGUGGAGAGACCCCCAAAACACCCCCAGCGUACCCCAGAAUCACCCCCAAAAGAACGGGGGUCACUCAUGUGGAGAGACCCCCAAAACACCCCCAGCGUACCCCAGAAUCACCCCCAAAAGAACGGGGGUCACUCAUGUGGAGAGACCCCCAAAACACCCCCAGCGUACCCCAGAAUCACCCCCAAAAGAACGGGGGUCACUCAUGUGGAGAGACCCCCAAAACACCCCCAGCGUACCCCAGAAUCACCCCCAAAAGAACGGGGGUCACUCAUGUGGAGAGACCCCCAAAACACCCCCAGCGUACCCCAGAAUCACCCCCAAAAGAACGGGGGUCACUCAUGUGGAGAGACCCCCAAAACACCCCCAGCGUACCCCAGAAUCACCCCCAAAAGAACGGGGGUCACUCAUGUGGAGAGACCCCCAAAACACCCCCAGCGUACCCCAGAAUCACCCCCAAAAGAACGGGGGUCACUCAUGUGGAGAGACCCCCAAAACACCCCCAGCGUACCCCAGAAUCACCCCCAAAAGAACGGGGGUCACUCAUGUGGAGAGACCCCCAAAACACCCCCAGCGUACCCCAGAAUCACCCCCAAAAGAACGGGGGUCACUCAUGUGGAGAGACCCCCAAAACACCCCCAGCGUACCCCAGAAUCACCCCCAAAAAAGCCCCCAGCCCAGGCACAGGAUACGUCCAUCAGGUUCACCAUGCUGCGGCAGGACUCGAUGCUGAAGCCCUUGGUGCGCAGGUCUUUGUCUGGAAUUGGGAAUUUUGGCUAAUUAACGAGGGGCUGGGGUUCAUUAACCAGGGGCUGGGGUUCAUUAACGAGGGGCUGGGGUUCAUUAACGAGGCCUGGUGUUAA
ensembl:lncRNA